rnacentral:rRNA from 1 species
UACGAAGGGGGCUAGCGUUGCUCGGAAUCACUGGGCGUAAAGCGCACGUAGGCGGCUUGUUAAGUCAGGGGUGAAAUCCUGGAGCUCAACUCCAGAACUGCCUUUGAUACUGGCGAGCUUGAGUUCGGGAGAGGUGAGUGGAACUGCGAGUGUAGAGGUGAAAUUCGUAGAUAUCAGAAGGAACAUCAGUGGCGAAGGCGGCUUCCUGGACCAAUACUGACGAUCAGGUGCGAAAGCGUGGGGAGCAAACAGG